rnacentral:rRNA from 1 species
AUUGAGCGCUGGCGGAAUGCUUUACACAUGCAAGUCGAACGGUAGAGGGGGCAACCCCUCGAGAGUGGCGAACGGGUGAGUAAUAUAUCGGAACGUGCCCAGUCGUGGGGGAUAACGUAGCGAAAGUUACGCUAAUACCGCAUACGAUCUAAGGAUGCAAGCGGGGGAGCGCAAGACCUCGCGCGAUUGGAGCGGCCGAUAGCAGAUUAGGUAGGUGGUGGGGUAAAGGCUCACCAAGCCAACGAUCUGUAGCUGGUCUGAGAGGACGACCAGCCACACUGGAACUGAGACACGGUCCAGACUCCUACGGGAGGCAGCAGUGGGGAAUUUUGGACAAUGGACGCAAGUCUGAUCCAGCCAUUCCGCGUGCAGGAUGAAGGCCCUCGGGUUGUAAACUGCUUUUGUACGGAACGAAAAGGUCUCUCUUAAUACGGGGGACUCAUGACGGUACCGUAGGAAUAAGCACCGGCUAACUACGUGCCAGCAGCCGCAGUAA